rnacentral:rRNA from 1 species
UGAGCAAUCUGCCCUUCUCAUCGGAAUAAGCGUUGGAAACGACGUCUAAUGCCGAAUACGACCUCCUUUCGCAUGAUCGGAGGUGGAAAGCUCCGGCGGAGAAGGAUGAGCUCGCGGCCUAUCAGCUAGUUGGUGUGGGUAAUGGCCCACCAAGGCGACGACGGGUAGCCCGGCCUGAGAGGGUGACCGGCCACACUGGGACUGAGACACGGCCCAGACUCCUACGGGAGCAG